CUUCAGCAACCUGAACAAGAAGGAACAAGGAAACCUUGGGAUCCCAUUCCAUUCAAUGAAGUAGAAAGGAAGAAGAAAAUGAAGAAUGACAGAAAGCAACAGCCUACUAAACAAUUAGAGAGUCUUAAGUAUCCAGUUUUAGAUGCUGAAAAGGCAGAGGAAGCUCGACUGAAGAAGAAUAUGAGCGCCGAAAAAGCUAAUGCAUAUGCUGAGACUCUCCAACUUCUUUCUGAGCUACAG